rnacentral:rRNA from 1 species
GAUGAACGCUGGCGGCGUGCUUAACACAUGCAAGUCGAACGGGAAACCUUUUAUUGAAGCUUCGGCAGAUUUAGCUGGUUUCUAGUGGCGGACGGGUGAGUAACGCGUGGGUAACCUGCCUUAUACAGGGGGAUAACAACCAGAAAUGGUUGCUAAUACCGCAUAAGCGCACAGGACCGCAUGGUCCGGUGUGAAAAACUCCGGUGGUAUAAGAUGGACCCGCGUUGGAUUAGCUAGUUGGCAGGGUAACGGCCUACCAAGGCGACGAUCCAUAGCCGGCCUGAGAGGGUGAACGGCCACAUUGGGACUGGGACACGGCCCAGACUCCUACGGGAGGCAGCAGUGGGGAAUAUUGCACAAUGGGGGAAACCCUGAUGCAGCGACGCCGCGUGAAGGAAGAAGUAUCUCGGUAUGUAAACUUCUAUCAGCAGGGAAGAUAGUGACGGUACCUGACUAAGAAGCCCCGGCUAACUACGUG